AAGAUUGUGACAAGGAGUUAUUCUUGUUGACCAGGCUAACGCACCUGCUGGAGCGUGACAUUCCUGGACAUGGAUUUUGCAUGAACUUGGGCUCGAUGAAGAGGAGGAACGUUUAAGGGUCUG
ensembl:lncRNA